GAUGAACGCUGGCGGCGUGCCUAAUACAUGCAAGUCGAACGAAGAUGUUCUUGUGUUCGCACGAGAGCUCUUAGUGGCGGACGGGUGAGUAACGCGUUGGUGACCUACCCUAAAGAAGGGAACAACCUCGGGAAACUGAGGCUAAUACCCUAUGUGCUUCUUAAGAUUAGAUGCUUUUGAAGUAAAGGUUCUGUGGACGAAAGGCCACAGUGCCGCUUUAGGAGGGGCCUGCGUCCCAUCAGCUAGUUGGUAGGGUAAUGGCCUACCAAGGCAAUGACGGGUAGGGGACCUGAGAGGGUGACCCCCCACACUAGCACUGAAACACGGGCUAGACACCUACGGGUGGCAGCAGUAGGGAAUCUUGCACAAUCGACGAAAGUCUGAUGCAGCAACGCCGCGUGUGCGAUGAAGGCCUUCGGGUUGUAAAGCACUUUUCUGAGGGAAGAGAAAGGACGGUACCUC
rnacentral:rRNA from 1 species